rnacentral:rRNA from 1 species
UAGUGGCGGACGGGUGAGUAACACGUGGGCAACCUGCCCUACAGCCUGGGAUACCAUCGGGAAACUGAUGUUAAUACCGGAUACGCUCUUUUGAUCGCAUGAUCUAAGGAGGAAAGAUUUAUCGCUGUAGGAUGGGCCCGCGGUCCAUUAGCUAGUUGGUAGGGUAACGGCCUACCAAGGCGACGAUGGAUAGCUGGUCUGAGAGGACGAUCAGCCACACUGGGACUGAGACACGGCCCAGACUCCUACGGGAGGCAGCAGUGGGGAAUAUUGCGCAAUGGGGGCAACCCUGACGCAGCAAUGCCGCGUGAAGGAUGAAGGCUUUCGGGUCGUAAACUUCUGUCUAGAGGGAUGAAAUUUUGACAGUACCUCUGGAGGAAGCCCCGGCUAACUACGUGCCAGCAGCCGCGGUAAUACGUAGGGGGCAAGCGUUGUCCGGAAUCACUGGGCGUAAAGCGCGCGUAGGUGGUCUAGUAAGUCAGAUGUUAAAAUGCGGGGCUCAACCCCGUAAUGCAUUUGAAACUGCUGGACUUGAGGACAGGAGAGGAAAGUGGAAUUCCUAGUGUAGCGGUGAAAUGCGUAGAUAUUAGGAGGAACACCAGUGGCGAAGCGACUUUCUGGACUGUACCUGACACUGAGUGCGAAGCGUGGGGAGCAACAGGAUAGAUACCUGUAGUCACGCGUAACGAUGGUACUAGUGUAGGGGUUAGAUACCCUCUGUGACGCAGUUACGCAUUAAGUACCCGCUUGCGRAGUACGA